UACGGAGGGUGCGAGCGUUGUCCGGAAUCACUGGGCGUAAAGGGCACGUAGGCGGCCUGAUAAGUAGGGGGUGAAAUCCUGCGGCUUAACCGCAGGGCUGCCUUCUAAACUGUCAGGCUUGAGCACAGUAGAGGCAGGUGGAAUUCCUGGUGUAGCGGUGAAAUGCGCAGAUAUCAGGAGGAACACCAAUGGCGAAGGCAGCUCGCUGGGGACGGUACUGACGCUGAGGCGCGAAAGCGUGGGGGAGCAAACAGGG
rnacentral:rRNA from 1 species